rnacentral:rRNA from 14 species
GCAGCCGCGGUAAUUCCAGCUCCAAUAGCGUAUAUUAAUGUUGUUGCAGUUAAAAAGCUCGUAGUUGGAUUUCUGGAUUGAGCGGCUGGCCUUGCGCGCAAGCGUUCGUGUCGGCUUCGUUUCGGUCCAUCCUCAGGGGGACUUGCGCUGGCAUUAACGUGUCGGUGUUGGGACGCCUGUCGUUUACUGUGAACAAAUUAGAGUGUUCAAAGCAAGGUGUACUUGAAUACAUUAGCAUGGAAUAAUAAGAUAGGACUUUGGUGGUUCUUUUUGAUAUUUUGUUGGUUUGCACGCCAAAGUAAUGAUUAAUAGGAGCAGUUGGGGGUAUUCGUAUUCAAUUGUCAGAGGUGAAAUUCUUGGAUUUAUAGAAGACGAACUACUGCGAAAGCAUUUACCAAGGAUGUUUUCAUUAAUCAAGAACGAAAGUUAGGGGAUCGAAGAAGAUUAGAUACCUUCGUAGUCCUAACCAUAAACUAUGCCGACUCGGGAUUGGCGGUCGUUUUUUUACCGACUCCGUCAGCACCGUAUGAGAAAUCAAAGUCUUUGGGUUCCGGGGGGAGUAUGGUCGCAAGGCUGAAACUUAAAG